UACGUAGGGGGCUAGCGUUGUCCGGAUUUAUUGGGCGUAAAGAGCGUGUAGGCGGCCAAGUAAGUCCGGUGUGAAAACUCGAGGCUUAACCUCGAGAUGUCAUCGGAAACUAUUUGGCUAGAGUCCGGAAGAGGAGAGUGGAAUUCCUGGUGUAGCGGUGAAAUGCGCAGAUAUCAGGAAGAACACCAAUUGCGAAGGCAGCUCGCUGGGACGUUACUGACGCUGAGACGCGAAAGCGUGGGGAGCAAACAGG
rnacentral:rRNA from 1 species